UGUUGCAUGGCUGUCGUCAGCUCGUGUCGUGAGAUGUUGGGUUAAGUCCCGCAACGAGCGCAACCCUCAUCCUUAGUUGCUAUCAGGUAAUGCUGAGUACUUUAAGGAAACUGCCAGUGAUAAGCUGGAGGAAGGUGGGGAUGAUGUCAAGUCAUCAUGGCCUUUAUGGAGUGGGCUACACACGUGCUACAAUGGUGUCUACAAUGGGUUGCAAGGUGCGCAAGCCUAAGCUAAUCCCUAAAAGACAUCUCAGUUCGGAUUGUACUCUGCAACUCGAGUACAUGAAGUUGGAAUCGCUAGUAAUCGUGGAUCAGCAUGCCACGGUGAAUACGUUCUCGGGUC
rnacentral:rRNA from 1 species